rnacentral:rRNA from 1 species
GGGUGAGUAAUGUCUGGGAAACUGCCUGAUGGAGGGGGAUAACUACUGGAAACGGUAGCUAAUACCGCAUAACGUCGCAAGACCAAAGAGGGGGACCUUCGGGCCUCUUGCCAUCAGAUGUGCCCAGAUGGGAUUAGCUAGUAGGUGGGGUAACGGCUCACCUAGGCGACGAUCCCUAGCUGGUCUGAGAGGAUGACCAGCCACACUGGAACUGAGACACGGUCCAGACUCCUACGGGAGGCAGCAGUGGGGAAUAUUGCACAAUGGGCGCAAGCCUGAUGCAGCCAUGCCGCGUGUAUGAAGAAGGCCUUCGGGUUGUAAAGUACUUUCAGCGGGGAGGAAGGCGAUGAGGUUAAUAACCUCGUCGAUUGACGUUACCCGCAGAAGAAGCACCGGCUAACUCCGUGCCAGCAGCCGCGGUAAUACGGAGGGUGCAAGCGUUAAUCGGAAUUACUGGGCGUAAAGCGCACGCAGGCGGUCUGUCAAGUCGGAUGUGAAAUCCCCGGGCUCAACCUGGGAACUGCAUUCGAAACUGGCAGGCUAGAGUCUUGUAGAGGGGGGUAGAAUUCCAGGUGUAGCG